rnacentral:rRNA from 1 species
GACGAACGCUGGCGGCGUGCCUAAUACAUGCAAGUAGAACGCACAGUUUAUACCGUAGCUUGCUACACCAUAGACUGUGAGUUGCGAACGGGUGAGUAACGCGUAGGUAACCUGCCUGGUAGCGGGGGAUAACUAUUGGAAACGAUAGCUAAUACCGCAUAAUAUUAAUUAUUGCAUGAUAAUUAAUUGAAAGGUGCAAUUGCACCACUACCAGAUGGACCUGCGUUGUAUUAGCUAGUAGGUGAGGUAACGGCUCACCUAGGCGACGAUACAUAGCCGACCUGAGAGGGUGAUCUGCCACACUGGGACUGAGACACGGCCCAGACUCCUACGGGAGGCAGCAGUAGGGAAUCUUCGGCAAUGGACGAAAGUCUGACCGAGCAACGCCGCGUGAGUGAAGAAGGUUUUCGGAUCGUAAAGCUCUGUUGUAAGAGAAGAACGGGUGUGAGAGUGGAAAGUUCACACUGUGACGGUAUCUGACCAGAAAGGGACGGCUAACUACGUG